UAUUUUAAUAAAAAAUCAUUCCUGAGAAGCUGUUGCUAUGAAACUUGCCAGUUCACAACAGAUGGCAGUAGAAUCUGUUCAGCGAGGGCCGCUCUGAAGCUCUCCACUCAAGCAUACCAUCAACAUUCCUCACAUGCCUCAGGCCCCGGCUUCAGGGCAACCUAGGCGGUAUCCACGGCGAUGGUGACACAUGCAGUCUCUCUCUGGACUCUUCUCAAGGUACGCCAAUCUACUGUUCUUCUCAAACCUGUGGCAGAGGAACUUAUCCUAAAAGUGACAACAAAUCAAUUUUGUCUGCUUCAGGGCUGAUUUUCAAAAGUUGGGGAAAUGUUUUAGAAAACAGUAGUUUUAAGUUGCAUUAGGCUACUUUCAAUUUAUACUUUCAAAAUGUUUUGUUUUGUGUGUCAUAUUGUUUAAGUCAAAACAUGAUCCACCCUGGAAUAGUAAUUGUACUUUUUUGAAAGCUGGGCCUAUAUUGUAAGUGUGGUAGGGCGGAUCCCUGCCUGGAAAAAAUAUGUUGGUGGUUGGUAGGGAUAGGGUUAAUUUCUGGGCCUGCUAGAUAAAUGUGUGUGGCUGUGUUUGCAUUAAAAACUUAAUUAGUGUCACCUGCCUGGGAUUAGCAGGCAGAUAUUUAAACAGGGGAAAAAAAUGUACGUUCUAGGCAGUCUGUGUGAAGACAAGAGGCUGUCAGUGAGGAGAGACCUGUGUGGUUUAAAUAGAAAAAAAAGAUCACGAUCUACUCUGUGGCAUGGUGAAGACAUAAAGAACACCCUGUUCAUCGAUUUGAAAAACCUGAUGACAGCAUUGUUCCAGCAGGAAACCCACAGUUUGAGCCCUGGCAGGCUGGGAUGAAUAGACAGCAUAUUGUAGUUUCUUCUGGCAAACGAUGAAACAAGGCAGUUAAGUCCUGCAAUCUAUUCCCAUUUAAAGUGAUCAGAACCAUGCACACAUUUGAAAACUAAUCUCCAGGCAUUGCAUUUUUACGUUGUGAGCAAGUCAGAUGGAUCCAGAUGGAAGAAGAUAUGAGACAUUUCAGUACAGGGCUGAUAGUAGGUCCUGGAGAACAGACUUUGCUACAGAUUUCCACCCAAACCUCCCUGAAGGAAUCAGAGGCAGCAAUCAUGGAGGAAUGACCAUGUAUCCCUCCAGAACAGCAGCUCUUGUUACACUGACAGUGUCGCAAUGGCUGGCUACCCAUGGUGGCUGUACAUCCUUUUUUUUUUUUGUCCAACUCCUGUACAAUUUUCAAAGGUGGCAAAAUGAGAACUAGGAUAUCUGAUACAGGCCCUCACUUGUGAUCUUAUUAAACAAGGGGUUACAAACAGUUCAACCGUUACAGUCCUUGUGAUAAACGGUACAUAUACAAUUUACUAGCAUCAAAAGCCUCAAUCCCCCUCAUUAUGCCUGCAGAUUCAACACUGUGUUACGAAUCAGAUCAAGCAGCCCGUGAUGUAGUGAAGAAGGCACCAGCAAACGAUCUCUUAAUGAAGUACAUGAUAAACAAAUAAACAAACUGCACUGAUGACCUGUAAAAGCGCUUACUGCUCAAUUAACCCAAUUAAACUUGUGCAACCCCUUGCUUGUCAUGUUA